CAGUAGCCACGGGAUACGAAGGGUGCAAGCGUUAAUCGGAAUUACUGGGCGUAAAGCGUGCGUAGGCGGUGAGUUAAGUCUGCUGUGAAAUCCCCGGGCUCAACCUGGGAAUGGCAGUGGAUACUGGCUCGCUAGAGUGUGUCAGAGGAUGGUGGAAUUCCCGGUGUAGCGGUGAAAUGCGUAGAGAUCGGGAGGAACAUCAGUGGCGAAGGCGGCCAUCUGGGACAACACUGACGCUGAGGCACGAAAGCGUGGGGAGCAAACAGGAUUAGAUACCCCCGUAGUCCCUGUCUCUUAUACC
rnacentral:rRNA from 1 species